rnacentral:lncRNA from 1 species
AUGGUGAGGGGGUCCGAGCGGGCCACCUUCUUGGGCGGGGCGGUCUUCACGCAGCGUCCUCGGCACCACAUGCUCCCCGCUGCCCUCCUCACCCCCACACGCUACGAGGGAAUGGGGGAGGAAGGCACUUCCACUUGCCAGGCAUGUGCAUCUGUGUUGCUCUCAAAACCACUGUCUGCAGAACCUUCCAGCAGUUUCCCUGACACCCCACUGGGCCCACGUCCUGCUGGCCGGCCUGAAGCCAGCCCCCACGCACCCCAAUCGCCGCCCAUGGGCACCUGGCCUCCUCAGCAGACAUCGUACCCAAGGACAGAGGAGGUACCCGGACGCCCAGCCAGCGCGGGCCGACCCCCGGCCCACACAGGAUCCUGCCCGACACCACAGGCCUGGGCCGUGCUUUCCAGCCAUCAUGGGGCCCCGUCGUGCCCCAGGCCCCUCCUCUGGGUGUUCUGGGCCCCGGAGCGCCCAUUGUGGCCCGAAAGCCCCACCCUCCACGGGUGUUCUGGCCUGAACCUGCUUUCCCGGCUUCUGGAAACCCAAAGCCAAGCCUGGCCGCACCCCGGGAGCGGCAGGCUGCCACUGCCUCCUCUAGAGCUUGGGUCCUGGGUUUUGGAGGCACCCAGACGUGUGGGAGGAGCUGCAGAGAGAGCCGGGAGGGGAGGGGAGGAGGAGCGGGUGCCUGGGACCCUGGGGUCUCCCGCACAGACGCCCGAGGGACAACGGGGACAAGCAUUCCACGGCGGGCGGCGGAACAUGGAAGCCCUGGCGAGAAGAAACGGGAAAAGGGAAUUUGAAGCAGGUUCCAUACGGGGUGCAGCACGGCCCCGGGGCCCCCAGGGCAUCUUCCCAGAAGCCGGGCUACCCCCCGCCCCGGGUGCUUCGGAGAGAAGAGCUCCUUCCGGGGGCGGUGAGCGGAGAAAGAACCUGGCGCAGAGCGACGCAGGCGCUGCCAGGGAGACGUGCCCCCCACCCCAGACCGGCGCCCCCAGUGUCCCCCGCCCCCAGGAGGGGGCAGGUUGGACCCAUUGA